UGGGGAAUAUUGCACAAUGGGCGCAAGCCUGAUGCAGCAACGCCGCGUGAGGGACGACGGCCUUCGGGUUGUAAACCUCUUUUGGCAGGGAAGAAGCGAAAGUGACGGUACCUGCAGAAAAAGCACCGGCUAACUACGUGCCAGCAGCCGCGGUGAUACGUAGGGUGCAAGCGUUGUCCGGAAUUAUUGGGCGUAAAGAGCUCGUAGGCGGUUUGUCGCGUCUGCUGUGAAAACCCGAGGCUCAACCUCGGGCCUGCAGUGGGUACGGGCAAACUAGAGUGCGGUAGGGGAGAUUGGAAUUCCUGGUGUAGCGGUGGAAUGCGCAGAUAUCAGGAGGAACACCGAUGGCGAAGGCAGAUCUCGGGGCCGUAACUGACGCUGAGGAGCGAAAGCAUGGGGAGCGAACA
rnacentral:rRNA from 1 species